rnacentral:lncRNA from 1 species
CAGUGUUUAUUAAACGUUGCAAAAUCAGACAUCUUUUGCAACGUUUAUUAAAAUGUUGUCAAUAUGAGAUAUGCUAACUUUUCGCAACAUUUAAUAAACAUUGCAAACUCUUUUUUUUUUUCAAAACGAAUGAUAUUGGCUCAAAUGAUAAACACGCGAUAACUCAAACCAUUCCUUCAUCCUUCUUCCGGCUCUUCCUCCUCCUGUCUCCGUCUUCGCCAUUUAACUUCGGGCUCCGGCACAGUCAUGUAGACGGACAACAAACACUACACAACUGUUCUUCUCCGCCAUUCAAUCUUCUCAAUCACGGGAUCUGUUGCGGGCCUUGCAACUCAGCCCUGUUUUCAAGCCCUAGAUAACUAUAGGAAGAUGCGGCAACCGUCGACCUUCGAUUCCACAUUUCCACCGGCGAUUCAACCGAAGCACCUGCAUAGCAGAAGAAGGUAAAACAUUAAACAUCUGCAUAAUCUCUAUAAGCUUAUAACUUUGGUAAAUAUGGGAAAAUCAACAAAGAAAUCAGCUUCCAAGGUAAAUAUUGUUAGCUUUCUCACGUUUUCUUUGUGCAGCUAUUGUAGAUGAUUAUUGUUGAUAUGCCUACCUCGUCCCAAAUAAAUAAGUAAAUAGAAAAUUAAGAAAUUUGUUAAUGAAAGAUUAUUAGAAGCAUGUAUUAAGAUUAUACUCAACUGUACAACCAAGAUUUGAUUCAAAGGAGACUGAAAGGAAGGAAAGAUGAAAAUGCAAAAUUUAUUUUAGAUGUUCUUCUAUCUCAAUUUAUAUGAAAGCUCAUUUUUGCUGUCUAGCAUAAAUACAAAAUGCAUGCUCUUUCUUAUUUAAUGCUUGAAAUAUUGAAUUUUUGCAAGAAAAUCUAUUCAAUGAAAUGAGGCUUAAACAAGAGGAUUGUGAAGCGGAAGUCGAUAAAUUGAAAAAGGAGAGAAGCAGAACUUUCGUCUCUGUAUGCUACUUCAUUAUCAAAAGUUCACGGUAUGCAAGUGUUUAAUAUAUCAUUGAUUGGGCAUAAAUGAGAUUUAGGCAUAUUAGGAAUGAGGUAACAAUAACAGAGAUUAUUCUAUCACAAUGUUUGGUAUAUAAAGCAAUCAUAACAAGUUUUUCUUACAUAUGACUAUAGGAAAUUGGUCCCUUGAAGUAAAACUUGAUGCUCCAUUCCGAUCUUAAAAUAUAGUGAGAAAAAGAAAAGAAUAGGGGGAGAGCUAAAAUAAAUUUAGGAUUACACAUUGGUCCUCUUAUUAUUGAAAAAUUAUCAUUACAGUUUUUACUUUUGACAAAGUGUAGACAUUCUCCUAGGUCCAAAAUGUUCGUGUACGACAUGAGUUUGAGGAUUAGGUUCAUCUUUCUAUAUUCUGUGAAAGGGUGACUGGAAGUAUAAUUUUCUUGUUCAAGACAUGCCAGAUAUUUUACUAUAUAUCAAGCUUAAGUUGUGGAUGCUGCUUUUCCUACUUGCUUAUUUAGGAUGGAGCGCAUAUCUAAAUCAAAUUAUUUUUCACUGCCUUCUUUAUAUUAUUAAAAUUUCUAUAGGUACAUGAAACUCUCAUUUUAUACUUCAUAUUUGGAAUUUUAUUUCCAGAUAAGCCUUUAUUCUAAUUUGUAGUUCUGUGUUUUGUAGGAAAUGACAAUCUCCAGUCUCCAGGAGCGGUUAGGAGAUCCAGCCAUCGGAAACAACCCUAUCUUACGUCUUAUUGCUGGGAUUAUAUUCAUGCAUGAGCAGGAUUAUAAUGAAAUUUUGAAACAUACAAAUGCAGGGGAAACCAUGGAUCUGUGAGUCUUUUCUAGAUUUGAUGAUGAGAAUCUCUAGUUGUUUCCCUUCUAUUCUAGAUGAGCAUGGUGAAUCUUGAUAAUCUCUGGUUGAUUCCUGCAAUCUUCGAGGUGGUUGAUGCUUGAUGGAUAUGUAGAUUGUGACACACUUCUGCUGGCGGUGCUAUGUUUUUUUGUCCCAUGGAAUUUGUUAAGUUUGCUUGAUUGUCAAUUUUUUGGGUGGUGUGGUGGUGAGUAUUAAUUUUAGUUAAAGUCAUUAACCAUCACUCCUUCAUAAUGUGUUUUUUCUUGGCAUUGUGGGUCUCAACUCUGAGUUAGUUAUGUAGCAUCACCAUAUGUUUCAACUAAAUUUCCAGGUUAUCAUCAAUGUGUCCUGAAACCUCUAAUUAUUUAGUUUCUCCAUACCUAGCUUUCCUCCAAUUUUUUUAGUUAGAACUGCGUCUGGAGUUAGCAAAUGGUCUAUAAAGUUUUCUUUUAUUUGUUUCAAUAAUUUGAUCAUAAGAAAUUGCUUCUUGUUCUACUCCAGUGAGAUUUUCCUUAUGCCCAUUAUUCUUUAUUUUUGUUUUAAUUGACGUUUCCGUUUCUUUAAUAAUUUCAUUUCAAAUAACUAGGAGUUUUUAAAAAAAAAAUAAAAAUUAAGAAAUACGUUAUAGUUAAAUUGUCCAAAAUGUUAAGAAAUAAAUUAUGUUAAAUUGUCUUCAGUGAUCAUUUGUUGCUAACAAAAUUUUAUUAGUUUGAUAUUUUUUGACACUAGUUUUCCUUUAUCAGAUCUAACCUUGGAUUUGUCUGUCUUGACACUUUUUUUUUAGUGUGGCAUGUUUCUGUUCAAAUAUUUCUUGUUAUAACGAUGCUUGAAUGUGUGGAGAUUCCUUUCAAUGGUUGCCUGAAAUUGCUAACAGUACAAGUGCUGGGUUGUGAUUGCAUGCAUUUUUUCAAUUAUUUCUCUGUGUCCAAUCAUAGUGCAAUUUUUGACAAUGGCUUCUGUUUUGAUAUAAGACUUAAUUCAUAUCCAGCUCUUUGGGUAUUUGUUUCUGACUUGUCAUUGUUUUAAAUUGUUGUUCGAAAUCUUUCUGUUAUUGUUUAGAUACACUACUUUAGGUGCCCAAUCAAUGAAGGUAUGCAAGGCCAUGGUGCUGGAAUCUGAAAAUUUGAAAUUCAAAAUUAAUGAACUUGAUGCCAAAUUGAUGAACUCGUGUCGAAGAUUUUUGUGAAGAAAUUUGAGGAGGCCGAUGGGGUUGUUUCUCACUACUUAGUUUGUCGUAUUUUAUAUAUAUAUAUAUAUAUAUAUAUAUAUAUAUAUAUAUAUAUAUUUUGGAAAUUGUAUUGAAUUUUAGGUGCUUUAGAAUUUUGUAUGGAUAUUGUUAUGUUUUGGAGUUCAAUUAAUAAUAAUUGUUGGAGUUAUUUAAUAUUGUGAUCUUCUAUCAUAUUUUGUGGUUGAUUUAUGUAAAUUAUUGUACAAAUAAAAA